rnacentral:tRNA from 1 species
GUUCUGGUAGUUUAAGUAGAAUAUGGCGGUGAAGUUGCCAAGGUGGUUCAGUUCCUCAGGACA